rnacentral:rRNA from 1 species
GGAGUUAGCCGGUGCUUCUUCUGUGAGUGAUGUCCUUCCUGCCGGCUAUUAACCCGCAGGCCUUCUUCCUCACUGAAAGUGCUUUACAACCCGAAGGCCUUCUUCACACACGCGGCAUGGCUGGAUCAGGGUUGCCCCCAUUGUCCAAUAUUCCCCACUGCUGCCUCCCGUAGGAGUCUGGGCCGUGUCUCAGUCCCAGUGUGGCUGAUCAUCCUCUCAGACCAGCUACGGAUCGUCGCCUUGGUGAGCCGUUACCUCACCAACCAGCUAAUCCGACAUAGGCUCAUCCGAUAGCGCGAGGCCCGAAGGUCCCCCGCUUUCCCCCGUAGGGCGUAUGCGGUAUUAGCCUGGGUUUCCCCAGGUUAUCCCCCACUACAGGGCAGAUUCCUAUGCAUUACUCACCCGUCCGCCGCUCGCCACCAGGGAGCAAGCUCCCCGUGCUGCCGCUCGACUUGCAUGUGUUAGGCCUGCCGCCAGCGUUCAAUCUGAACCAAGAUCAAAUUCUGA